ensembl:lncRNA
GGACAUCAUUUUAAUUGUUGGACAUUUGUAAAGGAUUCCCAUUCCUCCACAAAUGCACAUUAAAAAUUGCCCGUUCUCCUACUAAUGCUUUCGCUUGAGCACAAACAUAUAGUGCCUGGUUUAUAUUUGUCUGAAAUUUCUGGGUAAAUCAGAUGAAAUAAAACGUCCAUAACGUGACACAACACUCAUUUAAAAUGUGGUCAUGGGCGAGAGAGAACAGAGUGUACGCAUUUUCUUUUUUAGUACAGCAGAACAGUGACUCACCAAAGCCAUUUUGGAAACACUAAUGAAAUUUUAAAUUUUAAGGUGUGCAAUUUUAUAUGGCAGCUCUGCAAAAGACUGUGCCUCUUAUUAUUGUGAGGCAUGCACCACUAGAAAAAAAAAAACGACGACAAGAGAUGUACAUAACGUAACUAGAUAAAGCCAAAAUCUGUGUAAAUCUUCUCAUGUAAACUGCAUAAUAGCACUUCAAAUGGCCCCUUUCUGUCAUCCACUGUAACCAUCACAUUCCCAUUUCUGCUGCAGUCAGGUGAACUGUCAAAGAGCUAUUACGGUUGGCUGCAUAGAAUUCCGAGGAAAGACAAAUCUUUGCAAUUUUCUCCUUGGACAAUAAAUGGUUCUUUUGGUGCCUUUAGGUUUUCCUCAACAAUUUUGGUAAAGAAAAAAAUGAGUUUUUAAUUUUUUUUUCUCAUUUUUUACAUGCACACAAUAAUGUACGGGGCUUUAUUUGGGCUGAAACCUUUACUAUGAAUGUGUAGCUCUUUGAUGGAUGCACAUUAGCAUUCCAGUAUGAGGGUUUACAGAUUGUACCUAAGUCUUUAGAAGAAUGUCUAGGAGCAGUGAGGACCAGGAGGACUGCUUUUGCUGAACCAAGGAAUGACUGACCAAGGAAGAUGAAGAUUUUGAGGUGUCCUGGUACUGCCUGUUGAAUUGCAAGCUGAACAGACCCAGGUCACCCAACCUUUCCUCACAAGAGAGGUUCUCCAGGCACCUUCAUGCUUGUGGCCCUCCGAUGGACUCUUUCCAGGAUAUCUUCAAAGUAAGAAGAGAAUACAGCUCCUGACUGCCUUCAGUAAUGAUACGUGGACAACUUGGUAGGAGUCUGCCCUGGCCCUGAUUGAGUGCCCCGGAGCUGUCCACGGGAAAGUGCUGGAAAAGGAAGAAACAGAUGGUCCAGGCCAGAACGUGACAUGAUCCUAAAGAUGUCUCUAUCUUUGCUGGGGGAAGAAAUGAAGCCGUUACUCCCAGCGGGGAAAAGAGGAAACAAGAAGAUAUUUAAAGGAUAUGGAGGGGGAUUUUGAGAACUGCUAAGGUUCUUAGGACAUACAUUUUCAGAACACAUAAUAUAAGCACAAGAGACUGCCAAUAGUACCAAGAUCAGUCACAUGGAAUGAGCUGUCAUUCUUAUUCUCUUUGUACCAUAAGUUCAGAACAAAUAAAUAAAUAAAUAAAAA